rnacentral:rRNA from 1 species
UACGGAGGGGGCCAGCGUUGUUCGGAAUCAUUGGGCGUAAAGGGCGCGUAGGUGGCGGGGCAAGUCGGACGUGAAAUCCCUCGGCUCAACUGAGGAAUUGCGUCUGAAACUGCCCUGCUUGAGGCCGGGAGAGGAGAGUGGAAUUCCCAGUGUAGCGGUGAAAUGCGUAGAUAUUGGGAGGAACACCGGUGGCGAAGGCGGCUCUCUGGACCGGUUCUGACACUGAGGCGCGAAAGCUAGGGGAGCAAACAGG